rnacentral:rRNA from 1 species
AGUGAACGCUGGCGGUAGGCCUAACACAUCAAAGCCGAACGCCACCACAUUAAAACCUUCCUCUUCCGGUGGGCGAGGGGCGAACGGGGGGGAAAUCAACCGAAAUCUCCUUUUUCUGGGGGAUUAACUUAGGAAAACUUACCCUAUACCGCAUUACUCCUUACGGUGGAAAGCAGGGGACCUUCGACCCUUCCCCGAUUGAAUGAUCCGAUGUCGGAUUAGCUAGUUGGCGGGGUAAAGGCCCACCAAGGCGACGAUCCGUAGCUGGUCUGAGAGGAUGAUCAGCCACACUGGAACUGAGACACGGUCCAGACUCCUACGGGAGGCAGCAGUGGGGAAUAUUGGACAAUGGGCGCAAGCCUGAUCCAGCCAUACCGCGUGGGUGAAGAAGGCCUUCGGGUUGUAAAGCCCUUUUGUUGGGAAAGAAAAGCAGCAGGUUAAUACCCCGCUGUUCUGACGGUACCCAAAGAAUAAGCACCGGCUAACUUCGUG